rnacentral:lncRNA from 1 species
UGUCAAUUAUCGAGUCAAACGUGCGGUUAAAAAGUCAACAGAAAGCUAUUUUAGCAAUUUAAGCAUAAUCUGUGAUAUAUAUGUUAUGGAACCUGUUUUGACAAUCAUAAAACAUGAUAAUAAGUAUAUAAACAUGUUUGCGCUCGUUUGAAUCGAUCAUUUGCUAUAUAGAACCGGUUCGGAGCCGAAAGUCGCAAAGGUUUGACUUUUGCUUUGACUUCAGUUCUGACCCGUUUUAGUGAGGUAUAAAUAUACCUUAGGACUCUCUUAGGACCAGGUCACAUGUUGGUAUACGCCUCUGUGGUCGGUUCAUGAGUUAUCCGAGUCUUUUACGUAUUUCCGUCAUUCGCCUAAAAGUUGACCGUAACGGCCUUUUAAAAAUUAAAACGAGUAUUUCGGACACCGCAUUUCCGUCAUUCGCCUAAAAGUUGACCGUAACGGCCUUUUAAAAUUAAAACGAGUAUUUCGGACACGUGAACGGACCAAAACCUUGCUUGUUAAAUUAUAAGCAUGUCCCUAAAGUUUCACGUCAAUCCGAGGUCUAGAAUGAGAGUUAUGCUAAAAGGCGCACUUUUAAGAAAGUUUUGUAAUUAACGG